CGGAUGUAGCCCAGUGGGAUUA
rnacentral:tRNA from 1 species